rnacentral:rRNA from 1 species
GAUGAACGCUAGCGGCAGGCUUAAUACAUGCAAGUCGAGCGGUAACAGGUGUAGCAAUACAUGCUGACGAGCGGCAGACGGGUGAGGAACACGUACGCAACUUUCUCAAACCGGGGCACAACCUUGAGAAAUCAGGGCUAAUUCCCCAUAACAUUGCGAGAGGGCAUCUGAUUGCAAUUAAAGAUUCGUCGGUUUGAGAUGGGCGUGCGUUCGANAGCUAGUUGGUAGGUAACGGCUUACCAAGGCAACGAUCGAUAGCUGGGUGUGAGAGCACGACCAGCCACACGGGCACUGAGAUACGGGCCCGACUCCUACGGGAGGCAGCAGUAAGGAAUAUUGGUCAAUGGACGAAAGUCUGAACCAGCCAUGCCGCGU